ACUGAGAGGUUGAUCGGCCACAUUGGGACUGAGACACGGCCCAAAGGCUCCUACGGGAGGCAGCAGUAAGGGAAUCUUCCACAAUGGACGCAAGUCUGAUGGAGCAACGCCGCGUGAGUGAAGAAGGCUUUCGGGUCAUAAAACUCUGGUUGUUGGAGAAGAAUGGUCCCGGCAGAGUAACUGUUGCCGGCGUGACGGUAUCCAACCAGAAAGCCACGGCUAACUACGUGCCAGCAGCCGCGGUAAUACGUAGGUGGCAAGCGUUAUCCGGAUUUAUUGGGCGUAAAGCGAGCGCAGGCGGUUUUUUAAGUCUGAUGUGAAAGCCCUGGACGGGUU
rnacentral:rRNA from 1 species